GUCAAUAUAGUUUAAUAAAAACGUCAGACUGUGAAUCUGAAGACAGGGUAUGGACCCCCUUAUUUAC
rnacentral:tRNA from 1 species